rnacentral:rRNA from 1 species
CGGCAAGAGCUCAAAUUUGAAAUCUGGCCCCUUUGGGGUCCGAGUUGUAAUUUGGAGAGGAUGCUUCGGGUGUGGUCCCCAUCUAAGUGCCCUGGAACGGGCCGUCAUAGAGGGUGAGAAUCCCGUCUGGGAUGGGCGGCCGCGCCCGUGUGAAGCUCCUUCGACGAGUCGAGUUGUUUGGGAAUGCAGCUCUAAGCGGGUGGUAAAUUUCAUCUAAAGCUAAAUACUGGCCGGAGACCGAUAGCGCACAAGUAGAGUGAUCGAAAGAUGAAAAGCACUUUGAAAAGAGAGUUAAACAGCACGUGAAAUUGUUGAAAGGGAAGNGUUGUCCACCAGACNCGUCCAGGGGGUUCAGCCGGCACGUGUGCCGGUGCACUUCCCCCUGGAUGGGCCAGCAUCGG